UACGGAGGGAGCUAGCGUUGUUCGGAAUUACUGGGCGUAAAGCGCACGUAGGCGGCUACUCAAGUCAGAGGUGAAAGCCCAGGGCUCAACCUUGGAACUGCCUUUGAAACUAGGUAGCUAGAAUUCUGGAGAGGUCAGUGGAAUUCCGAGUGUAGAGGUGAAAUUCGUAGAUAUUCGGAAGAACACCAGUGGCGAAGGCGGCUCACUGGACCGGUAUUGACGCUGAGGUGCGAAAGCGUGGGGAGCAAACAGG
rnacentral:rRNA from 1 species